rnacentral:lncRNA from 1 species
GUGUGCGCCAUCUGCAGUACCCAUGGUCGAGUUUAGUGGUGAGGGCUGGGCUUGGGUUCCAGCUGGAGGCGAGGAACAGAGCCUGUGCUCCUUUCAAGGAUUGGAGGUGGAUGGAUGGGCCGCUAGAAUGCGAAUGAGAAUAGAGAAAUUCUUUGUGCACCACGAGCGGCGUGGAACACAUGCACCAUCCAUGAUAAUUGGCUUUGUUGG